AACGAACGCUGGCGGCAUGCCUAAUACAUGCAAGUCGAACGAGAUCUUCGGAUCUAGUGGCGCACGGGUGCGUAACGCGUGGGAAUCUGCCCUUGGGUUCGGAAUAACAGUUGGAAACGACUGCUAAUACCGGAUGAUGACGUAAGUCCAAAAAUUUAUCGCCCAGGGAUGAGCCCGCGUAGGAUUAGGUAGUUGGUGAGGUAAAGGCUCCACCAAGCCUACGAUCCUUAGCUGGUCUGAGAGGAUGAUCAGCCACACUGGGACUGAGACACGGCCAGGACUCCUACGGGAGGAGGCAGAAGGGAAAAUGGGAAAAGGGGGCAACCCUGAUCCAGCAAUGCCGCGUGAGCGAUGAAGGCCUUAGGGUUGUAAAGCUCUUUUACCCGGGAUGAUAAUGACAGUACCGGGAGAAUAAGCCCCGGCUAACUCCGUGCCAGCCGCCGCCGUAAUAC
rnacentral:rRNA from 1 species